CCGGCGACCGGCGCACGGGUGAGUAACACGUAUGCAACCUGGCCGUCACAGGUGGAUAACCGGAAGAAAUUCCGACUAAUACAGCAUAACACUCCUGAGGGACAUCCUUCGGGAGUCAAAGGAGGCAACUCCGGUGACGGAUGGGCAUGCGGCGCAUUAGGUAGUUGGUAGGGUAACGGCCUACCAAGCCGACGAUGCGUAGGGGUUCUGAGAGAAGGUCCCCCACAUUGGAACUGAGACACGGUCCAAACUCCUACGGGAGGCAGCAG
rnacentral:rRNA from 1 species